rnacentral:lncRNA from 1 species
AUGCCUGGAAGAGGGCGAGGGACAACUUGGAGGCGGGCCGGAAGGAGCGCUUGCGCUUCGUCCUCGGCUGGGGCUUGUCUUGUCGAAGUUGUCCGGGGCGGGGGGGGGAGCGUUCGAAUACACAGCACACUAAUUCCACAGAGAUCCUGGCGAAGUCCUUGCUCUGUCGGCCCUGCUGGAUCACUUUCUCCAGUUGGAGGGGGACCCAGUCAUGGUGCAGCUCCAUCUUCCUGUCCAAAGGCUGUGUUCUUUGUGAGAACCUCAGGCUCAAUCAGGAGACAAUAUUCACCAACCACUAUGAAUAAAUUGGUGGGCUAUUUAGUAGCUUACCUGGAUAUAGAAAAAGAACGUGGACAAAUGGAAAACUUUUAAUAUUAGGAUGCUGUUGCAAGAGCUAUUGUGUGUGUGGAAGGGAAAGAACGUAACUGCUGUGCUGGACAUGCUAUUCAUGCAUUCUGAAUUGUCCAUCCAUCCAAAAACACAGUUGUAAACCGUCGGUAUGGGAGUCAGAAUUCCGACAGGUAAAUUCAACCUAUCAAGCUUUUUGCUCUGAUCUCCAACCCUCGA